ACGGGUAGCCGGCUGGAGAGGGCGACCGGCCACACUGGGACUGAGACACGGCCCAGACUCCUACGGGAGGCAGCAGUGGGGAAUAUUGCACAAUGGGCGUAAGCCUGAUGCAGCGACGCCGCGUGGGGGAUGACGGCCUUCGGGUUGUAAACCUCUUUCAGCAUUGACGAAGUGGUCGGGUUUUCCCGGUCGUGACGGUAGGUGCAGAAGAAGCGCCGGCCAACUACGUGCCAGCAGCCGCGGUAAGACGUAGGGCGCGAGCGUUGUCCGGAUUUAUUGGGCGUAAAGAGCUCGUAGGCGGCUUGUCGCGUCGGCUGUGAAAUCCCGUGGCUCAACUGUGGGCGGGCAGCUGAUACGGGCAGGCUGGAGUUCGGUAGGGGAGACUGGAAUUCCUGGUGUAGCGGUGAAAUGCGCAGAUAUCAGGAGGAACACCGGUGGCGAAGGCGGGUCUCUGGGCCGAUACUGACGCUGAGGAGCGAAAGCGUGGGGAGCGAACAGGAUUAGAUACCCUGGUAGUCCACGCUGUAAACGUUGGGCGCUAGGUGUGGGGUGCCUCUCCGGUGUCCUGUGCCGAAGCUAACGCAUUAAGCACCCCGCCUGGGGAGUACGGCCGCAAGGCUAAAACUCAAAGGAAUUGACG
rnacentral:rRNA from 1 species